GGCCUGAUGGCAGAGUGGUUAUGCAGCGGACUGCAAAUCCGCGUACGCCGGUUCGAUUCCGACUCAGGCCU
rnacentral:tRNA from 1 species